rnacentral:rRNA from 1 species
AUUGAACGCUGGCGGCAUGCCUUACACAUGCAAGUCGAACGGCAGCGGGGGAGAAGCUUGCUUUUCCUGCCGGCGAGUGGCGAACGGGUGAGUAAUACAUCGGAACGUGCCCUGUAGUGGGGGAUAACUAGUCGAAAGGUUAGCUAAUACCGCAUACGACCUGAGGGUGAAAGUGGGGGACCGCAAGGCCUCAUGCUAUAGGAGCGGCCGAUGUCUGAUUAGAUAGUUGGUGGGGUAAAGGCCUACCAAGGCGACGAUCAGUAGCUGGUCUGAGAGGACGAUCAGCCACACUGGGACUGAGACACGGCCCAGACUCCUACGGGAGGCAGCAGUGGGGAAUUUUGGACAAUGGGCGAAAGCCUGAUCCAGCAAUGCCGCGUGUGUGAAGAAGGCCUUCGGGUUGUAAAGCACUUUUGUCCGGAAAGAAAUGGCUCUGGUUAAUACCUGGGGUCGAUGACGGUACCGGAAGAAUAAGGACCGGCUAACUACGUGCCAGCAGCCGCAGUAA